ensembl:snoRNA LOC120094930 small nucleolar RNA SNORA17
CCUGCCCCUAGAAAUGUGCAGGUGUGACUGCUGUGUCACAUAUGAGUCAGAGGUGGCAGAGAAGGGAGAGAGGCUAUGUCUAUACUAAGUGUUCUGACACAGUGUUCUGGCCUAACAUU